GAUGAACGCUGGCGGCGUGCCUAAUACAUGCAAGUCGAGCGAACGGACGAGAAGCUUGCUUCUCUGAUGUUAGCGGCGGACGGGUGAGUAACACGUGGAUAACCUACCUAUAAGACUGGGAUAACUUCGGGAAACCGGAGCUAAUACCGGAUAAUAUUUUGAACCGCAUGGUUCAAAAGUGAAAGACGGUCUUGCUGUCACUUAUAGAUGGAUCCGCGCUGCAUUAGCUAGUUGGUAAGGUAACGGCUUACCAAGGCAACGAUGCAUAGCCGACCUGAGAGGGUGAUCGGCCACACUGGAACUGAGACACGGUCCAGACUCCUACGGGAGGCAGCAGUAGGGAAUCUUCCACAAUAGGCGAAAGCCUGACGGAGCAACGCCGCGUGAGUGAUGAAGGUCUUCGGAUCGUAAAACUCUGUUAUUAGGGAAGAACAUAUGUGUAAGUAACUGUGCACAUCUUGACGGUACCUAAUCAGAAAGCCACGGCUAACUACGUG
rnacentral:rRNA from 1 species